UACGUAGGGUGCGAGCGUUGUCCGGAAUUAUUGGGCGUAAAGAGCUCGUAGGCGGUCUCCCAAGUCCGGGGUGAAAUCUUUCGGCCUAACCGGAAAAGGGCCUUGGAUACUGGGGGACUCGAGGGGGGUAGGGGCAAGCGGAACUUCCGGUGGAGCGGUGAAAUGCGUUGAUAUCGGAAGGAACGCCGGCGGCGAAAGCGGCUUGCUGGACCCCAUCUGACGCUGAGGCGCGAAAGCCAGGGGAGCGAACGGG
rnacentral:rRNA from 1 species